UACGUAGGGGGCGAGCGUUGUCCGGAAUCAUUGGGCGUAAAGAGCGUGUAGGCGGCUUGGCAAGUCUGACGUGAAAGCCCGCGGCUCAACCGCGGAUUGUCGUUGGAAACUGCCUCGCUAGAGUCCGGAAGAGGAGAGCGGAAUUCCUGGUGUAGCGGUGAAAUGCGCAGAUAUCGUUUGGAACGCCAAUGGUGAAAACAGGUCGCUGGGAGUGUGCUGACGCUGAGACACGAAAGCCAGGGGAGCAAACGGG
rnacentral:rRNA from 1 species